AAAUAUGAAGCAAAAAAUUGCAUUUAGUUUCGACCUAAAAGUAUGGCUUUAACGGCCCUUAUUUA
rnacentral:tRNA from 1 species